rnacentral:rRNA from 1 species
GAUGAACGCUGGCGGCGUGCCUAAUACAUGCAAGUCGAGCGAACGGACGAGAAGCUUGCUUCUCUGAUGUUAGCGGCGGACGGGUGAGUAACACGUGGAUAACCUACCCAUAAGACUGGGAUAACUUCGGGAAACCGGAGCUAAUACCGGAUGAUAUUUUGAACCGCAUGGUUCAAAAGUGAAAGACGGUCUUGCUGUCACUUAUAGAUGGAUCCGCGCUGCAUUAGCUAGUUGGUAAGGUAACGGCUUACCAAGGCAACGAUGCAUAGCCGACCUGAGAGGGUGAUCGGCCACACUGGAACUGAGACACGGUCCAGACUCCUACGGGAGGCAGCAGUAGGGAAUCUUCCGCAAUGGGCGAAAGCCUGACGGAGCAACGCCGCGUGAGUGAUGAAGGUCUUCGGAUCGUAAAACUCUGUUAUUAGGGAAGAACAUAUGUGUAAGUAACUGUGCACAUCUUGACGGUACCUAAUCAGAAAGCCACGGCUAACUACGUG